rnacentral:lncRNA from 1 species
CUCAUUUUUGGAAAAGAAGCAAAACACACGAAGAUAUAUCGCCAUUGCAAGGACUCCCCAGGAGGAAGCCUCUGUUGUCCCAAAGCAUCCUGUUUGUUCUUGCUGUCCUUACUCCAGCCCCUCCUGGUUAGUAUCCCGCUAUCUGUCUGGACAUUGCUAUCUCCAAGGCACCUUGAAGCACAGUGACUUCAGGCAGAGGUUUGGGAGUAUCUCCUGAAGGCUCCAGCACACCAGGGGAAUGUAGAACAGAAAGAGAAAUUUCAAGUAGAUGUUACCUCCCUCAGAGGCUGCUGGCCUUCUUCUGACUACCUCUCACCAGAGCACCGGCUGACGACCAUGUGGCCAGGACAGACCAUCAUUCCUGAAUGGUUGACUCAGAUCUCUGGCCUGGAACAUGAUUUCAAGAAGAAAGAAGAAAGGGAAGAAGAAA